UCCUAAGGAAUUUUAACUGAAGUUAAAAUAAUAUGUUCUAAACUCCACCAAAAUAUAAUGGGAUUUCAAAUGUGUUAUUUCAGUUCCUCUUAAUAGUAUCUUGUAUUAUUUCAGAUAGAGUUUUUACUAUUUUCUAGUUAAACUAGGCCUAGAUUUUAAAUUGGAUUAAUAGUUACAAAUUUCUUCAUUUCUUCCAGAAAUAGUUAAAAAAAACUUUAAGCAUCAUACUGAAAUGACAUGAUAUCAAUAGUUAAUAAAACGCAAAAACUCCAUCUCUCUCUCUGCAAAAUGUCAACAGAGAACAACAAUCAAAUUCCACAGGAUAACAUUUAAAGAUUUUUUUUCUCCUUUUGGAUGAGAAGAAAGAAAAAAAGAGAGAUAAAUCCCUCAUUUUCAUCCAAAAUUAAAGUUUAAACAGAAACUAGUAUAUAAAAAUGCUGCAUAAAUUCUCCAAAACCCAACUUUCACUCUCAAAUUGAAUCAAAAUUAAACGCUAUUGAUCCAAGUAGUUAAGUAUUCGGCACAAACAAAA
rnacentral:lncRNA from 1 species